UCUACCUCCAUGACCGGGACAACUGGCCGAAAGGCUUGCUAAUACCGGAUAAGCCCACGGGGUCUUCGGACCCUGAGGGAAAAGGCGGCCUCUGUAUACAAGCUGUCACAAGGAGAUGAGUCCGCGGCCCAUCAGCUAGUUGGCGGGGUAAAGGCCCACCAAGGCAACGACGGGUAGCUGGUCUGAGAGGAUGAUCAGCCACACUGGAACUGAGACACGGUCCAG
rnacentral:rRNA from 1 species